rnacentral:rRNA from 1 species
AGCGAACGCUGGCGGCAGGCUUACACAUGCAAGUCGAGCGCCCCGCAAGGGGAGCGGCAGACGGGAGAGUAACACGUGGGAACAUACCUUUUGGUUCGGAACAACUGAGGGAAACUUCAGCUAAUACCGGAUAAGCCCUUACGGGGAAAGAUUUAUCGCCGAAAGAUUGGCCCGCGUCUGAUUAGCUAGUUGGUGAGGUAACGGCUCACCAAGGCGACGAUCAGUAGCUGGUCUGAGAGGAUGAUCAGCCUCACUGGGACUGAGACACGGCCCAGACUCCUACGGGAGGCAGCAGUGGGGAAUAUUGGACAAUGGGGGCAACCCUGAUCCAGCCAUGCCGCGUGAGUGAUGAAGGCCUUAGGGUUGUAAAGCUCUUUUGCCCGGGAAGAUAAUGACGGUACCGGGAGAAUAAGCCCCGGCUAACUUCGUG